UGAAACAUAGCCAAAUAAUUUGAUAUCAAACUUAAUGGUUGAUAAGAUGUUAUUAUUUUUGCCAUUAUGAUGGUAGAAACCCUAAAUCACCAUCCCGGGAUUAGGACCCCUGGCGCCAUAUCAAAUAACAAAAACAAGUUUAAAUCGAAACUUGUGUUCAAAAAGCGGGUGACCUGUACAUUAUUAUGUAAUACAGGUGAGCAUUUCGGUGAGAGGUGUUCAGGUAGGACCAAGGUCAGUAGAAGAUGGAGAAGACAGCGGUUCUUGAGAAGGAACGCACUUGCCAAUGAGAAAGUGAGACCUGUCUAAAGGUCUGAACAAGUCCUCGACAAUGGCUCCCAGCUGCUGUUUACCGGGUGAUUGGAUGCGUCGCCGAUGAAAGACAUCAAAUUCAUGUUGGACAUCGCCUGCGCCCAUGCCAAGAUUGUCUCGCUUGUUGAAGUUUGUCUUGUAGUUUAUUUGUAGGGUUGACAUUUGAUAUGAAAUAUAAUCUUUGCCUUGGAUAGUAAUAUUCUGCAUAAAAUGUGUAUAAAAUAAUUGUUGUACGCAGCAAAAAUUUUUAACGAAACUUCUGAUCAGAGAAAAAGAAAGAAAUGAAAGGCGUCGACCCUGCAUGUCGCUGGUUAUAUAUUACAGAUUUGUUUCUAAAUCGUAGUACAGUACUUUAUCCGCUCAUAUCGUUUCAAGGUAUUUUAUUUAUUAUGUAUAUUUAUUAUUGUGUCAGAAGGAAGUACCCAUCAAUUCUCAAACAAAAAUACGGCACUUUUUAGAGUUCACUUUUUAAAAAAAUAAUUUUAAUGCAAAAAGUAUUUUGCUGAAAUGAUGGAUAAAAAACAAAAAUGAUAGUUAUCAAUUAUUAUUAUUAUUGUUAUUAUUCGAUUUUUAGGUAGAGUACUGCGCGAGCACUAUUGAUUUUCUAGUUGAAGGUAAAAAUUGUCUUUGGGCAAAUCUUCAGUUAGCCACUAAGCUGUGCAUUUGAAGAUAUUUUAAAUAUUUAUUUUGAAUUAAAUUGAAUUGAAUUGAA